GCCUGGGUGGCUCAGUCGGUUGGGCAUCUGACUUUGGCUCAGGUCAUGAUCUUACAGUUCAUGGGUUCAAGCCCUGCAUCAGGCU
rfam:Felis catus isolate Cinnamon breed Abyssinian chromosome B1, whole genome shotgun sequence.